rnacentral:rRNA from 1 species
UUAGUGGCGCACGGGUGAGUAACACGUAGGCAACCUACCCUUCAGUGGGGGACAACAGAGGGAAACUUCUGCUAAUACCGCAUACGGCCUUGUACUGGGAUGUACGAGGAGAAAGGAUUUAUUCGCUGAGGGAUGGGCCUGCGGCCUAUCAGGUAGUUGGUGGGGUAAAGGCCUACCAAGCCUGCGACGGGUAGCCGGACUGAGAGGUCGACCGGCCACACUGGAACUGAGACACGGUCCAGACUCCUACGGGAGGCAGCAGUGGGGAAUAUUGCACAAUGGGGGAAACCCUGAUGCAGCGACGCCGCGUGGAGGAUGACGGCCUUCGGGUUGUAAACUCCUUUUGUCAGGGACAAUGGUGAUGGUACCUGACGAAUAAGCCACGGCUAACUCUGUGCCAGCAGCCGCGGUAAGACAGAGGUGGCGAGCGUUGUUCGGAAUUACUGGGCUUAAAGGGCGCGUAGGCGGUGGUGUAAGUCUGGGGGUGGAAUGCUACAGCUCAACUGUAGAGCUGCCUUGGAAACUGCAUUACUUGAGUCGGUGAGGGGAAAGCGGAAUUCCUGGUGUAGCGGUGAAAUGCGUAGAUAUCAGGAGGAAGGUCUGUGGCGAAGGCGGCCUUCUGGCACUUGACUGACGCUGAGGCGCGAAGCGUGGGGAGCAA